AGGACGAACGCUGGCGGCGUGCUUAACACAUGCAAGUCGAGCGGAAAGGCCCUUCGGGGUACUCGAGCGGCGAACGGGUGAGUAACACGUGAGCAACCUGCCCCUGGCUCUGGGAUAGCCUCCGGAAACGGGGAUUAAUACCGGACAUUCACUGAUCCCUGCAUGGGGGAUGGUGGAAAGUUUUUCGGCCAGGGAGGGGCUCGCGGCCUAUCAGCUUGUUGGCGGGUAACGGCCCACCAAGGCGACGACGGGUA
rnacentral:rRNA from 1 species